UGGUGCUGGUGUGAGUGACUGCUCAAUACUGUUUAGAGUAAUGUUUAAAGUGUAUUUUAGCUCUCUAGUGUUUAUAAUGAUGUUUAAAGUGUAUUACAGCUCUGUAUAGUGUGUGUGUGUGUGUGUGUGUGUGUGUGUGUGUGGGGCUGACGGUGGGGGUGGCAGACACCAGUGCUGAUACAGGAGUGCAUCUGAGGCGGGCCGCUCACACAGAGGCUUCUCUGCGGUCUGGCUGAUGAUUAGAGCCUCAGUAUCAUCCUCGCCCUCAGCCGCCAGCGCCACGGUCUCAGCAGGGCUGUGAUUCAUCUCACAUGUCCUGGGAUCUGAUCCGA
ensembl:scaRNA small Cajal body-specific RNA 7